rnacentral:ncRNA from 3 species
UGGUUGCCAUAACUCCGAGCUCACAACACUAAGUUCGAUUAAGGAUAGGUGUUCUGAGCCAGUGGCAUACUGCCACAAGGGCUUGGUUGGAAAUGACCACGCCUCCCGUGUUUGGAAAGGUGUUCCGUGGCGCAACAA